rnacentral:lncRNA from 1 species
UAAUUUCCAGUUCCACGACCCCGCGCCCAGGACUGUGUGCAAUGGGGGCUACACACCAAGACGAGAUGCUUCCCAGCACCCGGACCCUGCGUGGUAUCAGACCUGGCCAGGCCCUGGGAGCAAGCCCUCUGCAAGCACAAAGAUCCCUGCCUCCCAGCACACCCAGAACUGGUCAGCCACGUGGACCAAGGACAGCAAGCGUCGGGACAAGCGCUGGGUCAAGUACGAGGGAAUCGGGCCCGUGGACGAGAGCGGCAUGCCCAUUGCCCCCCGAUCCAGCGUUGACAGACCCAGAGACUGGUACCGGAGAAUGUUCCAGCAGAUUCACCGGAAAAUGCCAGAAGAAGCUGGGACCACUCUGAAGAGUUACCUAGAAGCACCUUCAACUACAGACCUGGAGCAUUCUCCACUGUGCUGCAGCCCUCAAAUCAGGUGCUCAGACGCCGGGAAAAAGUA